rnacentral:rRNA from 1 species
UACGAAGGGGGCUAGCGUUGCUCGGAAUCACUGGGCGUAAAGGGCGCGUAGGCGGCCAUUCAAGUCGGCGGUGAAAGCCCAGGGCUCAACCCUGGAAUUGCCUUCGAUACUGUCUGGCUAGAGACCGGAAGAGGUAAGUGGAACUGCGAGUGUAGAGGUGAAAUUCGUAGAUAUUCGCAAGAACACCAGUGGCGAAGGCGGCUGACUGGUCCGGUUCUGACGCUGAGGCGCGAAAGCGUGGGGAGCAAACAGG